GAUGAAGAACGUAGCGAAAUGCGAUAAGUAAUGUGAAUUGCAGAAUUCAGUGAAUCAUCGAAUCUUUGAACGCACAUUGCGCCCCCUGGUAUUCCGGGGGGCAUGCCUGUUCGAGCGUCAUCAGGAACCCAUCGGGCGGUCCCCUCGGGGACCGCCCGGCGUUGGGGCGCGCCGCCCGCGCCGUCAGGCGAAAGGCGGCGGCCCUCGAACCCAUCGGCGGUGCAUCGACGCGAGACCGACCGGCGUUGCGGAAUCGUCAAUCCGCCGGCGGCCGUCGAAGCUCCCUUCCGAAAGCUCCACGAGACGAAAAGGACCUCGGAUCAGGCGGGGUUACCCGCUGAACUUAAGCAUAUCAAUAAGCGGAGGA
rnacentral:misc_RNA from 1 species